UACGAAGGGGGCUAGCGUUGUUCGGAAUCACUGGGCGUAAAGGGCGCGUAGGCGGCUUUGUAAGUCGGGGGUGAAAGCCUGUGGCUCAACCACAGAAUUGCCUUCGAUACUGCAUGGCUUGAGACCGGAAGAGGUAAGUGGAACUGCGAGUGUAGAGGUGAAAUUCGUAGAUAUUCGCAAGAACACCAGUGGCGAAGGCGGCUUACUGGUCCGGUUCUGACGCUGAGGCGCGAAAGCGUGGGGAGCAAACACG
rnacentral:rRNA from 1 species